AGCGAACGCUGGCGGCAGGCCUAACACAUGCAAGUCGAACGAACCUUUCGGGGUUAUUGGCGGACGGGUGAGUAACACGUGGGAACGUGCCUUUAGGUUCGGAAUAACUCAGGGAAACUUGUGCUAAUACCGAAUGUGCCCUUCGGGGGGAAGAUUUAUCGCCUUUAGAGCGGCCCGGGUCUGAUUAGCUAGUUGGUUGAGGUAAUGGCGCACCAAGGCGACGAUCAGUAGCUGGUCUGAGAGGAUGAUCAGCCACAUUGGGACUGAGACACGGCCCAAACUCCUACGUGAGGCAGCGGUAGGGAAUCUUGCGCAAUGGGCGAAAGCGUGACGCAGCCAUGCCGCGUGAAUGAUGAAGGUCUUAGGAUUGUAAAAUUCUUUAACCGGGGACGAUAAUGACGGUACCCGGAGAAGAAGCCCCGGCUAACUUCGUG
rnacentral:rRNA from 1 species